rnacentral:rRNA from 1 species
UACAGAGGUCUCAAGCGUUGUUCGGAUUCAUUGGGCGUAAAGGGUGCGUAGGUGGCGCUGUAAGUCGGGUGUGAAAUUUCGGAGCUUAACUCCGAAACUGCAUUUGAUACUGCGGUGCUUGAGGACUGGAGAGGAGACUGGAAUUCAUGGUGUAGCAGUGAAAUGCGUAGAGAUCAUGAGGAAGACCAGUGGCGAAGGCGGGUCUCUGGACAGUUCCUGACACUGAGGCACGAAGGCCAGGGGAGCAAACGGG